CCCUUAGAUGUUCUGGGCCGCACACGCGCUACACUGAAGGAGGCAGCGUGUACUCCUGGAUCGAAAGAUUUGGGUAACCCGCGAAUCUCCUUCGUGCUAGGGAUUGAGGUUUGCAAUUAUCCUUCAUGAACGAGGAAUUCCCAGUAAGUGCAAGUCAUAAGCUUGCGCUGACUACGUCCCUGCCCUUUGUACACACCGCCCGUCGCUCCUACCGAUUGAGCGGUCCGGCGAGCGACAGAGACUGUGCUGUUUGCGGCAACGUGGAUAGUGCGGGAACUUUUGCAAGCCUUAUCGCUUAGAGGAAGGAGAAGUCGUAACA
rnacentral:rRNA from 1 species